CCUACGGGAGGCAGCAGUGGGGAAUAUUGGACAAUGGGGGAAACCCUGAUCCAGCGACGCCGCGUGAGUGAAGAAGUAUUUCGGUACGUAAAGCUCUAUCAGCAGGAAAGACAAUGACGGUACCUGACUAUGAAGCCCCGGCUAACUACGUGCCAGCAGCCGCGGUACUACGUAGGGGGCAAGCGUUAUCCGGAUUUACUGUGUGUAAAGGGAGCGUAGACGGCAGCGCAAGUCUGGAGUGAAAUGCCGGGGCCCAACCCCGGAACUGCUCUGGAAACUGUGAAGCUGGAGUGCAGGAGAGGUAAGCGGAAUUCCUGGUGUAGCGGUGAAAUGCGUAGAUAUCAGGAGGAACACCGGCGGCGAAGGCGGCGUACUGGACUGUAACUGACGUUGAGGCUCGAAGGCGUGGGGAGCAAACAGGAUUAGAUACCCGAGUAGUC
rnacentral:rRNA from 1 species